GCUGCACACUGUUAAAGCUCAGGGUGGAGGCCAGUCUUGGCCAGUGAGCUUCUGAGUGUCGGAAGUGUGCUACAUCAAAGGCAGGGAUUUCGCUCACACCAGUAGAGCUUGCCUCUUUGACUGGAGUUUGAUAGUAGUC
rnacentral:snoRNA from 1 species